rnacentral:lncRNA from 1 species
UAAAAUAAUAAAACAAAGUUAUCAUCACCAUCAUUUUUACUUCUUUCAUCGAAACCACAAAGAGAAGAACCAAGUAGCCAUUGUUUUUGCUUCAAGUUCUUUCAGCCAUUGUAUGGUAAGAUUUUCAAAGCUUGUUUUUAGUAAAUUUUAUGUUUUUUAUAUCAUUGUAACUCAAUUUAGCUAACUUGUAUCUUAUUUCUCAAAACUGUUAAUGUUUCAAAAUGUUUCCAUUGUUAUUUCUUGAAGCUUUUAAUGUUAAAUGGUUGAUUGUUAACCCUAGAAAUGAAAAAAAAUGACUAUUUUGCAAAGUGAAAUUGAUGUUUUUGUCAAAAGGACUAAAGUGUAAAUAUUUCAAAAUUUGGUAUAAAAUUUCUGUAAUUUUUUAUAAUAAAGGGGUGUAUAAGGAUGAAAUUGAGACCAAUUUAAAAAUAGAAGCUCAAAUUUGAAAGAUAUAGCUAUUUCGGUUUUAGGGACUAAAUUGAAUAAAAUUUAAAAAUUUAGGGGACAGUUGAAAAAUUAAAUUGAAUUAAUAUAUGACUACAAUGGGUUGUUUUAAGAUGUUUGGAAUUGAUAAACCAAAAAAAUUGUUACAUAGAUCGAGAUUUGAGCUAAUCGAAAUAUAAUCGAGAAAAAUGAGAAAUUGCAAAUUAGUCACUGACACCUUAAUUGCUUGUUGUUUUUCUAGGUAAGUUCAUAUGAGACUUAUUUUAUUAAUUGGUGAUAUAUUUGUAUUAUAUUGUUUUGCUUUAUAGUUGAAUUGUUAUUAUAUAAUAUUUUUGGCAUCAAAAGGAUUAAAUAGAAAAAUAUGAAAUAUAUAAUAGAUAUGAAUAGAUAUGUAGUAUCGAAUGGUUAUGUUAUAAGAAUGUAUUAGUACAAUGUAUACUUGUAGCCUUUAAUAUGGUAAUGUGUGAUGCUAUGAAAUAUUUAUAUGUGAAAUAGAUAUUAACAAGAUAGCAAUUGACUAAUGGCAUAAAGUAAAUAAUAUAGAAUUGAAUGAAUUAUAAAUGGUUGAGUGUAAUAUAAUAUAGGUUAGAUUUGUAUAAAUUGAAUUGGUAUAAUUUGGGUAUCGUAUUGAGGUACAAGGUAUACUUGUAGCCUUUAACAUGUACCUAGGGGUGUCAUUUUGUAUAUUGUAUAUGUUUUAUUUUGGUUGAUCACAAGUUGAACUUAUAUGGUGUUUAACUUUGAAUGUCUAUAUAGCAUGUAUAUAAGUGUGAAUGAUGGCAAUAUGGUAAUCUAUGAUUGAAGCUUUUGGAUAACCAAUUUUGAAUGUGGAUAAUGGGAUUAAGGUGAUUAAGGACGGUAUGGUUGUUGAUGGGUGUCGAAUCCACCAAUAUAAACCUACACCCAAUUUUGCAAUUUUAAGCAGUAUAGGGAGUAGGGUCGAUCCCUCAGAGACUGGGUUUACUGCAAAUUGUUGCUCUCUUGACCAGAUUUAUGUCGGGGCAGUUGUCGUGCCCAAGAUAUUAGGGGGGAGGAUAAAAUCGAAAACCUGGAACCUGAAAUAAAUAAAUAAAACGCGUAAAAAGUAAAAGUUGAAAAUGAAAUAAUAAAAAGCAGUUAAAUAAAUUUGAAGAAAAAUUAAUUAGAAUAAGCUCAGCUUUAGGCACGGGUUUUUCCUCGUCUUUGAACCGAUCCUCGAAAUUAGAUGAACUCCUCUUUUCCAAUAAGCUAGUUAUAGCUACCAAGGACGCCUCGGACACCAACUCUUCCUUGUGUAAAUUAGUUAUGGAACGUCCAAUAACUAACCCUUACCGAUCGAACAAC